rnacentral:rRNA from 1 species
GGCGGGGCGGAUCAUCCGGCGUUCUCGCCGGUGCACUCCGCCACGCCCGGGCCAGCAUCGGUUCGCGGCGGGGGACAAAGGCGCCGGGAACGUGGCUCCUCCGGGAGUGUUAUAGCCCGGCGCGCAAUGCCCCGCGGCGGACCGAGGUUCGCGCUCCGCAAGGAUGCUGGCGUAAUGGUCACCAGCGACCCGUCUUGAAACACGGACCAAGGAGUCGUCUUCGUAUGCGAGUGUUCGGGUGUCAAACCCCUACGCGUAAUGAAAGUGAACGCAGGUGAGAGCUUCGGCGCAUCAUCGACCGAUCCUGAUGUUCUCGGAUGGAUUUGAGUAAGAGCAUACGGGGCCGGACCCGAAAGAAGGUGAACUAUGCCUGUAUAGGGUGAAGCCAGAGGAAACUCUGGUGGAGGCUCGCAGCGGUUCUGACGUGCAAAUCGAUCGUCAAAUAUGGGCAUGGGGGCGAAAGACUAAUCGAACCUUCUAGUAGCUGGUUUCCGCCGAAGUUUCCCUCAGGAUAGCAGUGUCGAUCUCAGUUUUAUGAGGUAAAGCGAAUGAUUAGGGACCCGGGGGCGCUCUUUAGCCUUCAUCCAUUCUCAAACUUUAAAUAUGUAAGAAGCCCUUGUUACUUGAUUGAACGUGGGCAUUCGAAUGUACCGACACUAGUGGGCCAUUUUUGGUAAGCAGAACUGGCGAUGCGGGAUGAACCGAACGCGAGGUUAAGGUGCCGGAGUGGACGCUCAUCAGACACCACAAAAGGCGUUAGUACAUCUUGACAGCAGGACGGUGGCCAUGGAAGUCGGAAUCCGCUAAGGACUGUGUAACAACUCACCUGCCGAAUGUACUAGCCCUGAAAAUGGAUGGCGCUCAAGCGUCCCACCCAUACCUCGCCCUCGGGGUAGAAACGAAGCCCCGAGGAGUAGGCGGACGUGGGGGUCAGUGACGAAGCCUA